rnacentral:tRNA from 1 species
GCUGUUUUAGUUUAUUUUAAAACGUGUGAUUUGUAAUCAUGAGAAUUUAAUAGCU